GAGCGGUAGCACAGAGAGCUUGCUCUCGGGUGACGAGCGGCGGACGGGUGAGUAAUGUCUGGGAAACUGCCUGAUGGAGGGGGAUAACUACUGGAAACGGUAGCUAAUACCGCAUAACGUCGCAAGACCAAAGUGGGGGACCUUCGGGCCUCAUGCCAUCAGAUGUGCCCAGAUGGGAUUAGCUAGUAGGUGGGGUAAUGGCUCACCUAGGCGACGAUCCCUAGCUGGUCUGAGAGGAUGACCAGCCACACUGGAACUGAGACACGGUCCAGACUCCUACGGGAGGCAGCAGUGGGGAAUAUUGCACAAUGGGCGCAAGCCUGAUGCAGCCAUGCCGCGUGUAUGAAGAAGGCCUUCGGGUUGUAAAGU
rnacentral:rRNA from 1 species